rnacentral:tRNA from 1 species
GUCCAGGGAAGCCUAGUGGACAUGGCAUCUGUCCGGUAAGCGGAACACUGUGGGUUCGAUUCCCAUCCCUGGACA